GAGUGGGGAGGAGAGAGGGACAGAGAGCCUGCUUGCUUUAAAGGAGCAAAGCAGGAGAGGAGCUGCUUACACGAGUGUAAGCGGCUACUGUCCGGUUAGCUCCUUUAAAGCAAGCAGGCUCUCUGUCCCUCUCUCCUCCCCACUCA
rnacentral:miRNA from 1 species